rnacentral:rRNA from 1 species
AUUGAACGCUGGCGGCAGGCCUAACACAUGCAAGUCGAACGGUAACAGGAAGAAGCUUGCUUCUUUGCUGACGAGCGGCGGACGGGUGAGCAAUGUCUGGGAAACUGCCUGAUGGAGGGGGAUAACUACUGGAAACGGUAGCUAAUACCGCAUAACGUCGCAAGACGAAAGAGGGGGACCUUCGGGCCUCUUGCCAUCGGAUGUGCCCAGAUGGGAUUAGCUAGUAGGUGGGGUAACGGCUCACCUAGGCAACGAUCCCUAGCUGGUCUGAGAGGAUGACCAGCCACACUGGAACUGAGACACGGUCCAGACUCCUACGGGAGGCAGCAGUGGGGAAUAUUGGACAAUGGGCGCAAGCCUGAUGCAGCCAUGCCGCGUGUAUGAAGAAGGCCUUCGGGUUGUAAAGUACUUUCAGCGGGGAGGAAGGGAGUCAAGUUAAUACCUUUGGUCAUUGACGUUACCCGAAGAAGAAGCACCGGCUAACUCCGUG